rnacentral:rRNA from 1 species
GAGCGAAAACUUUUCGAAUAGGCAAUGCCUGAAAAGGUGACUAUCCGUAUCAACAACUGCUUUUAGUGGUUGGUUGGAAUGAGAGACUUAUAGAUCGGGUUUCGAGUAGCAAGUUCAGGGCAAGUCUGGUGCCAGCAGCCGCGGUAAUACCAGCUGAGCUAGAACUGGGUAACAUUGUUGCAGUAAAAACGUACGUAGUCACCUUUGUUCUUAUUGCUGUUCUUAACGAACCUGCAAUUGAACGAUCCA